rnacentral:rRNA from 1 species
UGCCAGCCGCCGCGGUAAUACGUAAGUGGCUAGCGUUGUCCGGAAUCACUGGGUGUAAAGCGCAUGUAGGCGGCCAAGUAAGUCGGAGGUGAAAUCCCAGGGCUCAACCCUGGAACUGCCUCGGAAACUGCUCGGCUCGAGGGUCAGAGGGGAAAGUGGAAUUUCGGGUGUAGCGGUGAAAUGCAUAGAUAUCCGAGAGAACACCGAUGGCGAAGGCAGCUUUCUGGCUGGCUCCUGACGCUGAGAUGCGAAAGCUAGGGUAGCGAACGGGAUUAGAUA